UUCCUACGGGGGGCUGCAGUCGGGAAUUUUGCUCAAUGGGGGAAACCCUGAAGCAGCAACGCCGCGUGAGGGAUGAAGGCCUUCGGGUUGUAAACCUCUUUUGUCAGGGACGAUGAUGACGGUACCUGGCGAAUAAGCCACGGCUAACUACGUGCCAGCAGCCGCGGUAAUACGUAGGUGGCAAGCGUUGUCCGGAUUUACUGGGCGUAAAGCGCGCGCAGGCGGUCUUGUAAGUCGAAUGUGAAAGCCCCUGGCUCAACCAGGGAGGGUCAUUCGAUACUGCUUGACUCGAAGGCAGGAGAGGGAAGUGGAAUUCCGGGUGUAGUGGUGAAAUGCGUAGAUAUCCGGAGGAACACCAGUGGCGAAGGCGACUUUCUGGCCUGUUCUUGACGCUGAGGCGCGAAAGCUAGGGGAGCAAACGGGAUUAGAUACCCCAGUAGUCAUG
rnacentral:rRNA from 1 species